AAGUCGUAACAAGGUCUCCGUAGGUGAACCUGCGGAGGGAUCAUUACCAAAGAUGGCGGGCCUCCGGGCCCCGCCGUCCCCCAACCCUUUGUUUGACCAAAACCUUUUUGCCUCGGGGGCAGAGCGUCCGCCGCCCCGCGGACGACCGCAGACGCUGUCUCUUUACGUCGGAGUAUUGAUUGAAUAAAUGAAAA
rnacentral:misc_RNA from 1 species